rnacentral:rRNA from 1 species
GACGAACGCUGGCGGCGUGCCUAAUACAUGCAAGUAGAACGCACAGUUUAUACCGUAGCUCGCUACACCAUAGACUGUGAGUUGCGAACGGGUGAGUAACGCGUAGGUAACCUGCCUGGUAGCGGGGGAUAACUAUUGGAAACGAUAGCUAAUACCGCAUAAUAUUAAUUAUUGCAUGAUAAUUAAUUGAAAGGUGCAAUUGCACCACUACCAGAUGGACCUGCGUUGUAUUAGCUAGUAGGUGAGGUAACGGCUCACCUAGGCGACGAUACAUAGCCGACCUGAGAGGGUGAUCGGCCACACUGGGACUGAGACACGGCCCAGACUCCUACGGGAGGCAGCAGUAGGGAAUCUUCGGCAAUGGACGAAAGUCUGACCGAGCAACGCCGCGUGAGUGAAGAAGGUUUUCGGAUCGUAAAGCUCUGUUGUAAGAGAAGAACGGGUGUGAGAGUGGAAAGUUCACACUGUGACGGUAUCUUACCAGAAAGGGACGGCUAACUACGUG